rnacentral:tRNA from 1 species
UAGCUCAGUUGGUUAGAGUGUGGUGCUAAUAACACCACAGUCGUGGGUUCAAUCCCUGU